rnacentral:rRNA from 1 species
AUCCCAGACUCCUACGGGAGGCAGCAGUGGGGGAUAUUGCCCAAUGGGGGGCCCCCUGAUGCAGCGCCGCCUCGUGGGUUACGGCGAGUUUCGGCUCUUCAAGCCCUCUCUUCCGGGAAGGAGGCGGCCGGGACCUUCCUCCGAAGCCCCUUCUCCCUACGUGCCCUCCUCCGCGGUCCUCCUUAGGGGGCCCUCGUUAUCCGGAUUUCCUUGGUGUAAAGGGGGCGCAGACGGCAGCGCAAGCCAGGAGGGAAAGCCCGGGGCCAAACCCCGGGACUGCUCUUGGAACUGCGCGGCUGGAGUGCAGGAGGGGCAGGCGGAAUUCCUGGUGUAGCGGUGAAAUGCGUAGAUAGCAGGAGGAACACCGGCGGCGAAGGCGGCCUGCUGGACCGCGACUGGCGUUGAGGCUCGAAAGCGUGGGGAGCGAACAGGAUUAGAUACCCCGGUAGA